rnacentral:lncRNA from 1 species
CAACAGUAUCAUUCUUUUGUCUUUGUAAAAAUUUUAAAAUGGGUGUAAACACAGGAAAAAAAAACUUAAUGAUGUAUAGAUAAGAUGUUGGCUUUGGGUUUUACUGUGGGAGAAGACUAUAAGUAAUUUAAAUUGUCAUUAUCCUAAUAUUUCUAAUUUAUAAGUUUUUAUAAUGGCAAUGAGUUACUUUUUUUUUUUUUAACGAAAACCAGUCUAAUUUUUAAAGUCAGAAUUCCCCCACAUUUUAAAUAUACAUUUACAUUUUAUUUUAUAUUUCCAUACUACAUUAACAUGGG